GAUAAUAUAGGCUAAACCUGAGCCCUGGGCUCCAGGACAGGCAGUCUGCUGCCUUUGACUAAUUUUUAAGUGCAGAGGUGCUGGGCUUCUCUGUAGAGGAGCAGCACUGCUGAAUCACAGUGAUUUUCCUGGAGAGAGAGUCCUAGGAGGGGAUUCCAGCUGUUCCCCACCCCACCUGAAGCAAAGGCUAUUAUUCCCACAGGAGUGCUCCUGGGGAGCCUGACACCACCAGGGAGGAGCCGCACUUAACCCUGGGGCUUCUUGUCAGAGCUUUGGUUAGGUGAAACCUGGAUCCUGGAGGUGCCCUGGGAAGCUUCUGUCUCCAAGAUUCACACCCAGGUCCGGCUGCUGCGUGGCUCCCAACAUAUCACAGAACCAAGGCUCCUUUUUCCAGCUGGCCCAUGUCUGAGUUUCUGCUUUAUGCUUCUGGUGCUUCUCCCAGCAGCCUGCUGCCUGUUGCAACAUGUGCUCACAUGCCACACUUCAUUUCUGCAUCUGUACUCACCAGCUCAUCUAGUUCCUCCUGGGCGCCAAACACACACCCACCCUUUUUUGCUGACCUUCUGUCCCUUCCUGGGUUUGCCACCUCCUUGCUUCACACUGACUUUGAAACAGUGUCUGGCCUCCGUGUUACCCGCCUUCUCCCUGAUCUAGCCUAGAUCCUGAAUGCCAGCCAUCCCCCUCAGCUCUUCCUCCUGGGCUCCAUUCUGCUGACACUCAUAAUUCCUUCUUUGUCUCCCCUUCUUAUCAAAGGCCCAAUCUUCAUUUGGGGGCACUGCCUCCCUCACCAAAGUGCAUUCCUGGACAUCCUAGAGCAGCCUACUUCACCAGGUUGUAAUUUACACCACAGGUCCCCCUAGGACAUUGCCAGUCUCCAUGGAAACCUUGACAACAAAGCCAGUCUCCUGGGUUCUCAUCCUCUCUCCCUCUGGGGACAAGAAGACUGACUGCAAGAGUAAAGGGCCCAUUUCUGUCUCCCUGGGCCCAGGCAAACUGCUGCCUCUGCCUCUGCUGUCUUGGGCCCUGCCUCAUCUGCAAGAAUGCUGCUCAGGAAGUGCCUGCUUCCUGCAUGAUGGGAGGUGGGAUCACCAGCAGCUGAUUGGUGAAGCCGGGGGUCAAUCUCAGAGGUCAGCAAGGCCAAACCCCGCUUUGGCACAUGGAAGACUGGAGUCCUCAGUGGCUCAUGAAUCCCAAAUGAGAAGGUGAGGGCGGCCUGCAGCCCAGGUGGUUCUCUCUUAGUGUGCAGUGUCCUCUAGGCAUCCCUCCAACAGUGACCUGCAAAGGGUUGUGUACAUGGAGAGGGCUCACAUUCCAGCCCCAGACAGAACCCCAUAUGAUGUUAUCAUCAGGCUACAAGUUUGAGUUUUCAGUGCCAGGAUCUGAGACAGGAGGAGACUCAUGACAACCCAGAAGAGGGAGGCCCUGCAGGCAGGCAGAGCCCAGAGAGAUUCCCCACCACGGACACCUGUGAGGGCAUCAGGAGGAACGUGAUGACUGACAUUCCUUCCUCUGUGGCACUUACCUUCCUUACCUCCAACCAUUUGUCAAAGACC
rnacentral:lncRNA from 10 species